UUGUUUCUGGCCACCAUUUCCAUGGUAAGAAAACAGAAUGUCAUCUGUUCUUAGGGAGAUGCAGGAGGACAUGUACUUAGUUUUAACAACCAAAAUGAGCAUUAGAAAUAUGAUACUGCAUGUGGCUAAAAAUAUAAUGUCAUGGUUGAAAGAUUGUGGGAAUUAUGUUUCUAUGUCUAUGACAGGUUAUUCACUAACAAGAUCCUUCAAGACAAAAUAAUGUCUAUAUCAUCUAAAUCUCACUAAUACAGUUCAUACCUGGUUGGAAUUCCAGAACGGUCAGUCAGCCUGGUUUCUUUAUGGAAAUCCUAAUAUAUGAAAUGGUAGCCAUGCCAAAAGAUAAUUAAUGAGGUCGCUGCCCAGCAACCUUUCCUUUUCAUAUUGUUUAUAAGCUCUGGUCAUUUUUGCAAAGUUUCCAGGUUUACAUCGAAAGAAAUGUGUCUACUUCAUUCCAACAAUUGAAUGGAAGAAAAUAAAUCUCAUAUUAUGGCAUUUUAGGAGUCUACUAAGGAGGUCUAAAGUAUUGGCACUACAAUAUCAUGAAUGGUAAAAGUGAGGAAAGGCAGAACUAGAAGAUCAAGACCACUUCACCAAGGAGGUCACUCUUAAUGAUCUGGGCGUAAAGGAGUUUAGCUGUUGGAACAUCUAUAUCCCAACAACUCCAUUCUACUCACCUCAUCAAUCUAUUGUAUAGGGUCCCCCUAACCUACUUGCCCAGACUGAAGAAGCUACUUAGGUUCUUUUUUCCCUGGCCUGCACUGACAUGAAAUUAAUGAAAUACAAUAUCAGGAUUUUUUUUAAAGGAAAAAAUAACUUCAACCACCCCCUCCAUAUAUUCAAUCCAGAGCAUUGUAGUCAUGAAGAGCAGAAUGAGAGUGGAUCAUUGAUGAAAGAAACAGCUUCAAGUGUCAGACCUCUAAGAUUCAACAUAAUAUGUUGAAUCAAGACGUAUGAAUCACAGCCUGUCACCUGCUGGAGCUUUUACAAAGAAAAAAAAGAGGCAUCUGUCAAGUUGUCAGAAGUAGUUAAAAAAAGACAUUAUUGAUUCUGAUAUGACUCUCCAAUUCAAUUUCAACGUGCCAAACAACCAGCUCCUACUCCAUAGAUAAACUGUGUUCCCUUUUACUCAGUUGUAACUAUGUCUCUUUAAAAUUUGUGAUAAGUAAAGGUAAUACAAACAACA